UUCGUCCAAUUGAAGCAGAGGACAGUGGCGGACGGGUGAGUAACGCGUGAGGAACCUGCCUUUCAGAGGGGGACAACAGUUGGAAACGACUGCUAAUACCGCAUAAUGUAUUCGGAAGGCAUCUUCUGGAUACCAAAGGAGAAAUCCGCUGAUGGAUGGGCUCACGUCUGAUUAGAUAGUUGGUGAGGUAACGGCUCACCAAGUCGACGAUCAGUAGCCGGACUGAGAGGUUGAACGGCCACAUUGGAACUGAGACACGGCCCAAACUCC
rnacentral:rRNA from 1 species